rnacentral:rRNA from 1 species
UGGGGGAUAUUGCACAAUGGGCGCAAGCCUGAUGCAGCGACGCCGCGUGGGGGAUGAAGGCCUUCGGGUUGUAAACUUCUUUUGCUCUGAACAAGGCGCACUUUGGGGUGUGUUGAGUGUAGGGGUUGAUUAGCGCCGGCUAACUACGUGCCAGCAGCCGCGGUAAUACGUAGGGCGCGAGCGUUGUCCGGAAUUAUUGGGCGUAAAGGGCUUGUAGGUGGCUGGUUGCGUCUGUCGUGAAAGCUCAUGGCUUAACUGUGGGUUUGCGGUGGGUACGGGCUGGCUUGAGUGCAGUAGGGGAGGCUGGAAUUCCUGGUGUAGCGGUGGAAUGCGCAGAUAUCAGGAGGAAUACCAGUGGCGAAGGCGGGUCUCUGGGCUGUUACUGACACUGAGGAGCGAAAGCAUGGGGAGCGAACAGG